UACGAAGGGGGCUAGCGUUGCUCGGAAUUACUGGGCGUAAAGCGCACGUAGGCGGCUCGUUAAGUCGGAGGUGAAAUCCUGGAGCUCAACUCCAGAACUGCCUUCGAUACUGAUGAGCUCGAGUUCGGGAGAGGUGAGUGGAACUGCGAGUGUAGAGGUGAAAUUCGUAGAUAUUCGCAAGAACACCAGUGGCGAAGGCGGCUCACUGGCCCGAUACUGACGCUGAGGUGCGAAAGCGUGGGGGAGCAAACAGGGAUUAAGAAA
rnacentral:rRNA from 1 species